UACAGAGGUGCCAAGCGUUAGGCGGAAUCACUGGGCUUAAAGCGCGUGUAGGUGGACGGGUAAGUAUCUUGUGAAAUCCCACGGCUCAACCGUGGAACUGCUGGAUAUACUGCUUGUCUUGAGGCACUUAGGGGCAGCUGGAACAAAUGGUGGAGCGGUGAAAUGCGUAGAUAUCAUUUUGGGAACGCCAAAGGCGAAAGCAGGCUGCUGGGAGUGAUCUGACACUGAGACGCGAAAGCCAGGGGAGCAAACGGGG
rnacentral:rRNA from 1 species